GACCCUUCUUAUUCUUUCAGAUGUGGACUAGUACAUUGGAUGUAGACAAAUACAUUAGUUAGCCUCUUGUUCCUUCUGUGCUGUGUCUGGUCUAUUAAUGAAUUGGAAAAUGUGUGCUGUGGAUUAAGCUUUCUGAGUUGGUGACAAACCUUAAAUCGAGUGCCAAAAUAAAGUGUGGGUCCCUCUGUCUAGAAGUUCAUGCAAGUGCCUGUGCCUGAGGAUACCAGGUCCACUUCUGAAGGUGUGCAACCAUGGCUCAGAAUUCUGAGGAAAAUGCUAAGUUGCAGGAGAAAAUAAAUAGCUGUCAGAAGGUCUGAAGAGGAGAUUCAUGUGAGAUGAGAAAGGUGAAAUUUCAGACAAGAGUGAGCACAGAAUACAGCUGAGUCAGUCACGGUGUGCAGAUACAACAAGCCUGCAGUGGAAAGCUGUGUACAGUGUCUCACCAGUCCCCCACAAAGAGACAGCUGCUGUUGCUGUUACAAUCACAUUUUGUUUUUGUCAUUGUUGGUGUUCUUCAUUUGAUUCUUAUUGAACAGAAAUGACAGUUUGAUUUCACUUGCUUUUAAAAUAAAAAGCUUGUCCAAUGUAUCCUGCA
rnacentral:lncRNA from 1 species